rnacentral:rRNA from 1 species
UUUCCGUAGGUGAACCUGCGGAGGGAUCAUUACCGAGUUUACAACUCCCAAACCCAAUGUGAACGUUACCAAACUGUUGCCUCGGCGGGAUCUCUGCCCCGGGUGCGUCGCAGCCCCGGACCAAGGCGCCCGCCGGAGGACCAACCAAAACUCUUUUUGUAUACCCCCUCGCGGGUUUUUUUUUUAUAAUCUGAGCCUUCUCGGCGCCUCUCGUAGGCGUUUCGAAAAUGAAUCAAAACUUUCAACAACGGAUCUCUUGGUUCUGGCAUCGAUGAAGAACGCAGCGAAAUGCGAUAAGUAAUGUGAAUUGCAGAAUUCAGUGAAUCAUCGAAUCUUUGAACGCACAUUGCGCCCGCCAGUAUUCUGGCGGGCAUGCCUGUCCGAGCGUCAUUUCAACCCUCGAACCCCUCCGGGGGGUCGGCGUUGGGGAUCGGCCCUGCCUCUUGGCGGUGGCCGUCUCCGAAAUACAGUGGCGGUCUCGCCGCAGCCUCUCCUGCGCAGUAGUUUGCACACUCGCAUCGGGAGCGCGGCGCGUCCACAGCCGUUAAACACCCAACUUCUGAAAUGUUGACCUCGGAUCAGGUAGGAAUCCCCCCAAG